CCCCCCUUUCAAUUUGCUUAAAGCAGAAGGAGGUAAAUUCAAAUUUCGGUCGGAAAUUUUCUUGUAUUAAAGCGAGACAUUUGCAACCAUGCCAACUUUUUGUUCAAUUCCUGGUUGCCAAAAAUCUGCUGAAAGAAAGGACCUGUCCUCACAUGGGUAAGGCUCGUAUAAUCUCGUUUUUUUGUAAUAAUUUAACGCCUGCUGUAUUGCUGUAUUGAAUGGAUUGCGUAAAUUUGUGAAUUCAUGAAAUUUCUUGGCAAGCAACGUACAAUACAAUUUAUGUUAGUG